rnacentral:lncRNA from 1 species
AGUAACAUCCUCAGGGCACCCCAAGCCACAGGCUGACGUAUGGUGGCCAACGUCUAAAUGUUGACACCUGACCUGGGGGAGGGGUGUCUUGUAUUCUGGGAGGCUAAGAAUAGAGACUUUCUUCUUUCCUUGAAGAACUCCUCCCUCAUUCUCUAUUUUGGCCCCUUUGUUUGCUUCCUGCCAGCCAGUGCUCUAAUUAUUUCACUUAUCCGUGUUUACUUUUUUAUUAUCUGUCUCUCCCAUCAGAAUGUGAGCUCCAGGAGGACACGACCCUCCCUGUUUCCUUGUUCCCUGCUGUGUCCCAGUACCAAGCACAGUGUCUGAUAUACACCUAGGACGUGAGGCUGCCAAGCUUGGUAUUCAAUAAAUAUUGAUGGAUGAAGGAACAAUGGAAGAAAGGAGUGCAUGGGUAAACAAAUGACAAAUAUGUCAAAGCACGGAUGCAGAUUCUUAGAAUGGGCUAAUGCUGUUUUCUGCUGGAUUUUUGGAUGUGUACAAACGAGUUCUCUCACAAUACAGAUCCACAGUGUCUGGGUCAGAGGAGAACUGAUGCUCCGCAUGGCAUUUUACCAUCCUGCCUGCCUGCCUGGGGCCCUGGGCCCACAGGCUUUGGGGAGAGUGUAUGGCCAGGCUGCAGCCUUCCUGGGAUAAAGCUCUGCCUUUUAGUCUCUUAUCCUACUUUUUAGAAGCCCUUUAAGGUCUUUGUUAAAGGAAAUCUAAUGUGAAGAAUUCCAGGAGAACUGGAUAAGCCUGACUAUGGGUGGGCGUGACUGAAUUACUUCCCGGGCUGGCUAAGGAAGGCCUCCCCCGAAGUGCAUCGGAAGCCUGCAGCUUCUCCUUAUGGCCACUGGAGGGCACUUGGACCAUGAAAUACCAGAUCGUCUCGGCGUCCCAGGUCUUUGGAAAUGUGUGAUUCAAUUCAGCAAACGUUUCAAAAUCAUCACUAUAAAGAUAGCGCUUUUGUGUUGAACAUCCAAUAUGGCGCUAAACACCUUAUAUAUAUGUGUGCGUGUAUAUAUGAACUUGCUUAAUAUUAACUACAAUUGUUGUGAGUUACUUAGGCUAUUUAGGAAAAAAAAAUCAAGGCUUAAAGAAGUCAAAGUACUUACCCAAGAUUGCUUAGCUAAAUAAAAUUUGGGAGUAAGGACUUGAACUCAAGCCCUUGGGCACCAACCAUAAGCAAUAGGUGCACACAAAGCUGAAAUGAGGACUCUCUUAUAAGCAGGAAGACGCACACACCACACAAAUAUUAUUGUUCCUCAACAAUUUACACAUUCUGAAAUUGGAAGAUGACUUACAAUUUGUACAUUACAUGGUAAUGUUUCUUUUUUCCCUUGAAAUGAUGUUAUUAAAUAAAUGAAGUGUCUCACAAU